rnacentral:rRNA from 1 species
UCGCCUGUUUUCAAAAACAUAGCCAUUAGAUGAUACUAUAUGGUUUUACCUGCCCAAUGUUACGAUGAAUGGCCGCGGUACCCUGACCGUGCUAAGGUAGCGUAAUCAGUUGACCUUUAAAUGAGGUCAGGAAUGAAUGGAAUAACCGGGUUUAGCUGUCUCCAAACCAUUAUAUUGAAUUUACUAUCUAAGUGAAAAAGCUUAGGAUUUAAAAAAGGAGGAGAAGACCCUUAGAAUUUUUUUAAAAAGGAACAUAUUUUCCUUACAGUUUUAUUGGGGCGAUAAAGAAAUAAUUAAAACUUUCUUUUUUAACAAGCCGAUUGUAUUAAGUAAGAAUAAAUUACCUGAGGGAUAACAGCAUAAUUCUAUAACUGAGUUUGUGACCUCGAUGUUGGACUAGGAAACCAGUAGGCUAGCCGUUUACUGUGUUAGGUUCUGUUCGAACUUUUAUUCCU